AUUGAACGCUGGCGGCAGGCUUAACACAUGCAAGUCGAGCGGGGGAAGGUAGCUUGCUACCGGACCUAGCGGCGGACGGGUGAGUAAUGCUUAGGAAUCUGCCUACUAGUGGGGGACAACAUCUCGAAAGGGAUGCUAAUACCGCAUACGUCCUACGGGAGAAAGCAGGGGAUCUUCGGACCUCGCGCUAAUAGAUGAGCCUAAGUCGGAUUAGCUAGUUGGUGGGGUAAAGGCCUACCAAGGCGACGAUCUGUAGCGGGUCUGAGAGGAUGAUCCGCCACACUGGGACUGAGACACGGCCCAGACUCCUACGGGAGGCAGCAGUGGGGAAUAUUGGACAAUGGGGGGAACCCUGAUCCAGCCAUGCCGCGUGUGUGAAGAAGGCCUUAUGGUUGUAAAGCACUUUAAGCGAGGAGGAGGCUACUUUAGUUAAUACCUAGAGAUAGUGGACGUUACUCGCAGAAUAAGCACCGGCUAACUCUGUGCCAGCCGCCGCCGUAACAC
rnacentral:rRNA from 1 species